UCUCCCUCGCUAAAAUGGCUUGCAAUUCCUACAUUUUUGGCCCUCAACAUCUCCACAAGCUCCAUCUGACGAUCAAUCGUUGGGUCACCAUCGCAUCCAGUCACCAACACUCUCCAUCCCAGCAACCUCAUGUUCUCCCAGAGUUUCGACCCACCAUUGGCCGUUGGAUUGCAAUAUUCAUGAUCACGGUCAACCCCAAUUGGCAAGGACAAG
rnacentral:misc_RNA from 1 species